rnacentral:rRNA from 1 species
AGCACUUGGGGGGGGUGCCUAAUACAUGCAGUCGAACGAGUUCUGAUUAUUGAAAGGUGCUUGCAUCUUGAUUUAAUUUUGAACGAGUGGCGGACGGGUGAGUAACACGUGGGUAACCUGCCCUUAAGUGGGGGAUAACAUUUGGAAACAGAUGCUAAUACCGCAUAAAUCCAAGAACCGCAUGGUUCUUGGCUGAAAGAUGGCGUAAGCUAUCGCUUUUGGAUGGACCCGCGGCGUAUUAGCUAGUUGGUGAGGUAACGGCUCACCAAGGCAAUGAUACGUAGCCGAACUGAGAGGUUGAUCGGCCACAUUGGGACUGAGACACGGCCCAAACUCCUACGGGAGGCAGCAGUAGGGAAUCUUCCACAAUGGACGCAAGUCUGAUGGAGCAACGCCGCGUGAGUGAAGAAGGCUUUCGGGUCGUAAAACUCUGUUGUUGGAGAAGAAUGGUCGGCAGAGUAACUGUUGUCGGCGUGACGGUAUCCAACCAGAAAGCCACGGCUAACUACGUGCCAGCAGCCGCGGUAAUACGUAGGUGGCAAGCGUUAUCCGGAUUUAUUGGGCGUAAAGCGAGCGCAGGCGGUUUUUUAAGUCUGAUGUGAAAGCCCUCGGCUUAACCGAGGAAGUGCAUCGGAAACUGGGAAACUUGAGUGCAGAAGAGGACAGUGGAACUCCAUGUGUAGCGGUGAAAUGCGUAGAUAUAUGGAAGAACACCAGUGGCGAAGGCGGCUGUCUGGUCUGUAACUGACGCUGAGGCUCGAAAGCAUGGGUAGCGAACAGGAUUAGAUACCCUGGUAGUCCAUGCCGUAAACGAUGAAUGCUAGGUGUUGGAGGGUUUCCGCCCUUCAGUGCCGCAGCUAACGCAUUAAGCAUUCCGCCUGGGGAGUACGACCGCAAGGUUGAAACUCAAAGGAAUUGACGGGGGCCCGCACAAGCGGUGGAGCAUGUGGUUUAAUUCGAAGCAACGCGAAGAACCUUACCAGGUCUUGACAUCUUUUGAUCACCUGAGAGAUCAGGUUUCCCCUUCGGGGGCAAAAUGACAGGUGGUGCAUGGUUGUCGUCAGCUCGUGUCGUGAGAUGUUGGGUUAAGUCCCGCAACGAGCGCAACCCUUAUGACUAGUUGCCAGCAUUUAGUUGGGCACUCUAGUAAGACUGCCGGUGACAAACCGGAGGAAGGUGGGGAUGACGUCAAAUCAUCAUGCCCCUUAUGACCUGGGCUACACACGUGCUACAAUGGAUGGUACAACGAGUUGCGAGACCGCGAGGUCAAGCUAAUCUCUUAAAGCCAUUCUCAGUUCGGACUGUAGGCUGCAACUCGCCUACACGAAGUCGGAAUCGCUAGUAAUCGCGGAUCAGCACGCCGCGGUGAAUACGUUCCCGGGCCUUGUACACACCGCCCGUCACACCAUGAGAGUUUGUAACACCCGAAGCCGGUGGCGUAACCCUUUUAGGGAGCGAGCCGUCUAAGGUGAACCAAUAUG